GAUCAUAUUUCAAUUUGCACACAGCUUUUAUAUUAUAUAUUUUAAGUCAUAAAAGUAAAAUGACAAUACGGAAAAGACGUUUGCAAUUAAGCCUGCAAAGAAUGCUGUCUAUCCACUGGUGAAAACAGAAAAUAAAUAUGCUGUCUAUCCAUAGGUCAAAAUAUAAAAUAAAUAAAUGUCAAUCCAGAGGUGAAAAUAAAAAAUAAAUAUACUGUCCAUCCAGAGGUGAGAACUAAAUAUGCUGUCUAUCCACAGGUGAGAACUAAAUAUGCUGUCUAUCCAGAGGUGAAAAUAUAAAAUAAAUAUACUGUCCAUCCAGAGGUGAAAAUAUAAAAUAAAUAUAUCUCAAUCCAGAGGUGAAAAUAGGAAAUAAAAUUGCUGUCCAUCCAGCGGUGAAAACGGAAAU